GGGCCCAGACACCUACGGGUGGCAGCAGUAGGGAAUAUUGGACAAUGGGCGAAAGCCUGAUCCAGCAAUGCCGCGUGAGUGACGAAGGAUUCCGGUCUGUAAAGCUCUUUUGUGAGGGAAGAAAUGACAUGUGAGGAAAUGCUCAUGUCUUGACGGUACCUCAUGAAUAAGGGACGGCUAACUCCGUGCCAGCAGCCGCGGUAAUACGGAGGUCCCAAGCGUUGUUCGGAAUUACUGGGCGUAAAGGGAGCGCAGGCGGACAGGUAAGUCUAAAGUGGAAUCCCGGGGCUCAACCUCGGAACUGCUUCGGAUACUGCCUGUCUUGAGUUCGUGAGAGGAAAGCGGAAUUCAGGGUGUAGCGGUGAAAUGCUUAGAUAUCCUGAGGAACACCAAUGGCGAAGGCAGCUUUCUGGCGCGAUACUGACGCUGAGGCUCGAAAGCGUGGGGAGCGAACGGGAUUAGAUACCCCGGUAGUCCACGCCGUAAACGUUGUGCGCUAGGUGUAGGAGGUAUCGACCCCUUCUGUGCCGCAGCUAACGCAUUAAGCGCACCGCCUGGGGAGUACGGUCGCAAGACUGAAACUCAAAGGAAUUGACGGGGGCCCGCACAAGCGGUGGAGCAUGUGGUUUAAUUCGAGGCAACGCGAAGAACCUUACCCAGACUUGACAUCCCAGGACAGCUUACGAAAGUAAGUCUUCCCUUCGGGGACCUGGAGACAGGUGUUGCAUGGCUGUCGUCAGCUCGUGUCGUGAGAUGUUGGGUUAAGUCCCGCAACGAGCGCAACCCCUAUUCUUAGUUACCAUCGGGUAAUGCCGGGCACUCUAAGAAGACCGCCGGUGAUAAACCGGAGGAGGGCGGGGACGACGUCAAGUCAUCAUGGCCCUUACGUCUGGGGCUACACACGUGCCACAAUGGCCGGUACAAUGGGCUGCAAUACCGCGAGGUGGAGCCAACCCCAAAAAACCGGUCUCAGUUCGGAUUGGAGUCUGCAACUCGACUCCAUGAAGCCGGAAUCGCUAGUAAUCGAGGAUCAGCUACGCCUCGGUGAAUACGUUCCCGGGCCUUGUACACACCGCCCGUCACAUGACCCGAGUCGGUUGCACCCGAAGUCACUGGCCUAACCCGCAAGGGAAGGAGGUGCCGAAGGUGUGAUUGGUGAGGGGGAUGAAGUCGUAACAAGGUAGCCGUAUCGAGGUGCGGCUG
rnacentral:rRNA from 1 species